rnacentral:rRNA from 1 species
UACAGAGGUCCCAAGCGUUGUUCGGAUUCAUUGGGCGUAAAGGGUGCGUAGGCGGCGCGGUAAGUCGGGUGUGAAAUCUCGGGGCUUAACUCCGAAACUGCAUUCGAUACUGCCGUGCUUGAGGACUGGAGAGGAGACUGGAAUUUACGGUGUAGCGGUGAAAUGCGUAGAUAUCUGGAGGAACACCGGUGGCGAAGGCGACAUCCUGGACCAACACUGACGCUGAGUGAGCGAAAGCCAGGGGAGCAAACGGG